rnacentral:rRNA from 1 species
AUUGAACGCUGGCGGCAGGCCUAACACAUGCAAGUCGAGCGGUUGAGGUAGCUUGCUACCGAUGCAGCGGCGGACGGGUGAGUAAUACAUGGGAAUCUGCCUGGUCGUGGGGGACAACGUUUCGAAAGGAACGCUAAUACCGCAUACGACCUACGGGGGAAAGGGGGGUGUCUUCGGAACUUUCGCUAUCAGAUUAGGCCAUGUCGGAUUAGCUUGUUGGUGAGGUAAAGGCUCACCACGGCGACGAUCCGUAACUGGUCUGAGAGGAUGAUCAGUCACACUGGAACUGAGACACGGUCCAGACUCCUACGGGAGGCAGCAGUGGGGAAUAUUGGACAAUGGGCGCAAGCCUGAUCCAGCCAUGCCGCGUGUGUGAAGAAGGCCUUAGGGUUGUAAAGCACUUUCAGUGGGGAGAAAGGUUAUUCACCUAAUACGUGAGUAAAUUGAUGUUACCCACAGAAGAAGCACCGGCUAACUCCGUGCCAGCCGCCGCCGUAA